rnacentral:lncRNA from 1 species
CGCUGGGAAAUGUAGUCCGCCUGCGUUGAGGUAAAUCCCGAGGGGGGUGCGGGUCGCGCAUGGCGGUGGUCUUCUCUCCCCCGCCUCCCCCUCAGGGAAGGUAUUUCAGUUGCCUCCUUGGGAGGAUUGAAACGCCGUGCUUGCCCCCGCCGAGGCCCCGUGCUCCCAACAGCGGCUCGCCCCACAAACAAGAGGAGGAAGACCCCCAGUUACGGGGGGGAAAGGCCGCCGCAGGCCAGCCGGAGGGGCCUCUGGUCAAGCCUCGCAGCAUAAAGGCCCGGUGCCCCCCUCCCCGCCUCACCACGCCGACACCGGAGUCGUGGAAAGGAGCACAGCUUGUCCUUGCUCCAACUGAAUGGUUUAAAACAUGCCAUGGAUGACGA